AAGAAGCAAUGUUGGGUAACAUCAGAGCUAAGAAGACCCAUCCAAGCAAUAAAAAGUACCCCUGUAACCACCUGGCCUUUUUCAGGGACCUGAGCCUUAAAGCCCUGAGGUCCUUAAUCCAGAUUUGCUGACAACUCAGACCAGCACCACUGGCACAAAGGACUACAGGUAUCAGAGAUGGUUUGGGUUGGAAGGGACCUUAAAGAUCAUGUAGCUCCCACACCCUGCCAUGGUGUGGGACCGCGGCUACUGAAAGCCCCAGGCCUCCUCAUGCUAGAACUCACUUCAGAGCCAAGAGGCUAUACAUUUAAAUCAGAAUAACUCUGACUACAUCAGAGCUAACAGCAGAGAGAGGCCUCCUCUGUGUCUUCCCUGGCAGGAAAGCUGCAGUGCAAGACAGCUGUCACAAGGUUUAUAAAGGAGAAAGUCACCAAAACCACAGAUUUACUAAUCCCCCUAUUCACAAAACAGUAUUCUGCUCUACUGUGAGAUGCACCAUUUCACUGAGAGAGCAAAGCAACACAAUUGUCUCCUCAAGACAGCCUGGAAGUACCUGUAACAAAAAGAAGGAAGGACAAGUCGUAACAUUGGCCAAAGUUUUUGUGAAGUGUCCAGAAAUGGCAGAACUGCUCUGCAGCUGCCCAAACUGAGUCAAGAGAGUAGAGGGUCUCCACAGUUUAAAUAAAAUCUAGUAUCUCAAGAUGACCAAAGUUAGAUGUGGAAGACCAAAGUGAUUCCCAGACCACCUCUGUGAACCUAUGGUCUUUCAGCUGAGACAUAAUUAUGACCAGAGAACGUUUGCUGGAUAAAUGAUCAGAAAACCCCUGGUUCUAGGUCAGGCAAAGGACAGCGCUUUCAGAGAUAGGCUGUUGCCUGGUAACAAGCUAGAAUGCUUGUCCAACACUCUACACUCAGUGUCCAGAAGUACUCUCUUCAACAGCUUCAUGUUUUAUGAAGUCUCUCAUCCAGCUGCUGACCAGCUGCAAAUAAAUACAGAGGACAAAGCAUCAUAUUUAGUCAUAAUGCUGCAGGUUCCCAUGACAGGGAGAAAAUUAUAUGCAAAAGUCAAAACAGUAGCUCUGCAUAUAUGAUCAAAGCUUUGCUGAAACUCAUCUCUGCAAGAGCAGACUCAGAUAGUAUGUCUCCUUUCAUUAAAAGGAAGUUUCAAAGCUGCUGGAAGAAAUAAAGAAUAGCACUGACUAAUUCUAUAAAAUCCUCCCUCACUUGGAACUAAGAGGACUUCAGAGCAAAAAGAUGGGUUUUCUCAAUUUGAGUAAGAAGAUUCCACUUUGCCCAUACAUCCAAUAACAAGGUAAGUGAAAGAAACGCAUCACAACGCAAAAGCAGAACGAAAAAUCCUAAAAUGUAGCUCUCCUCAACUAGUAGAGAUGAGGGGUGAUCCUGGUGCAGGAGACAAUUUACUAAAAGAAGGAAGGAAAAUUCAUUGUGCUACUGGUUAUACCUAACUCUGAACUGUAAGCUGAGCAUUCUCUGAUACACAAAUGUGACACAAUUCCCUACUAAAUCCCAUCCUGGGGCUGCUCCAGGAUGCAGCACAGACCAAGAAACACAUGCAGUGAUACUCCCUCAGUAUCUUGG